rnacentral:rRNA from 1 species
AGUGAACGCUGGCGGCGUGCCUAACACAUGCAAGUCGAACGGGACUUAGGGGCUUGCUCCUAAGUUUAGUGGCGCACGGGUGAGUAACACGUAGCUAAUCUGCCCUAUGCUGGGGGACAACAGUUGGAAACGACUGCUAAUACCCCAUACUCCGGUAUUACAUAAGUGAUAUCGGGAAAGUUUUUCGGCAUAGGAUGAGGCUGCGGUCUAUCAGCUAGUUGGUGAGGUAACGGCUCACCAAGGCUAUGGCGGAUAGCUGGUCUAAGAGGACGGUCGGACACACUGACACCGAAUAACGGGUCAGACUCCUACGGGAGGCAGCAGUCGGGAAUUUUGGGCAAUGGGCGAAAGCCUGACCCAGCAACGCCGCGUGAAGGAUGAAGUAUUUCGGUAUGUAAACUUCGAAAGAAUGGGAAGAAUAAAUGACGGUACCAUUUAUAAGCUCCGGCUAACUACGUGCCAGCCGCCGCAGUAAUAC